rnacentral:rRNA from 1 species
AGUGAACGCUGGCGGUAGGCCUAACACAUGCAGGUCGAACGGCAGCACAGUAAGAGCUUGCUCUUACGGGUGGCGAGUGGCGGACGGGUGAGGAAUACAUCGGAAUCUACUUUUUCGUGGGGGAUAACGUAGGGAAACUUACGCUAAUACCGCAUACGACCUACGGGUGAAAGCAGGGGAUCUUCGGACCUUGCGCGAUUGAUUGAGCCGAUGUCGGAUUAGCUAGUUGGCGGGGUAAAGGCCCACCAAGGCGACGAUCCGUAGCUGGUCUGAGAGGAUGAUCAGCCACACUGGAACUGAGACACGGUCCAGACUCCUACGGGAGGCAGCAGUGGGGAAUAUUGGACAAUGGGCGCAAGCCUGAUCCAGCCAUACCGCGUGGGUGAAGAAGGCCUUCGGGUUGUAAAGCCCUUUUGUUGGGAAAGAAAAGCAGCAGGUUAAUACCCCGCUGUUCUGACGGUACCCAAAGAAUAAGCACCGGCUAACUUCGUG